GAGAAAAAAAGGCGGCAAGGCGGCAAAAGUAGCAAAUUCUUGAACACUUCUCUUUCUCAAACUCGAGCCAUCCAACCAUCUGCUGCUUCUCUUCCUUCCUCACCUUACCUUUUUCGUCAUACUACAAAUUAAAAAAAAAAAAGAUCCUUCUCAACUCUUGUCAUUUAUGGUGGAAUACCCAUAUUGUUUGCUGAGUUUAUACUUCAUACCUGUCUUUGCUACAUCAUAAUCCGUGCCACCGUGAACCAUCUAGUAAGCUCCGGGAUAUUAUGUUGAUCCAGUUCCCAAGGGCUCAAGGCCAUUCUUGUGUCCUUGAUGUCCCUUGAGUUAGGAGUUCAAAGCUUUUGAGGGGGUGAUCUGAAAACCUGCAUGAAUCUCAGAAACGUUUUCCCUAUCAGCCUUAGCACGUUGAUCAGCAAAGGAAUACUAAAGUGAAGUGGUUCUUUACAAUGUUCUUUGAUCGAGCUUGCAUAGUCGGGGCCAAAGAUAUUUUUGGAUGGAUUCCAGGAUGGGGUACCUAACUCUAGGAGAUGCAACUGAAGGGACUCUGGCAGUGGCUGAAGGGGGACCCAUCCCAAUCUUACUACUAUACGUCCAACAUUUGUGUCAACCUGUCAGG